GAAAGCGUGAACAGUAAAGGAAUACUGUUCACUAUUUAUAGGCACAUGACACAGCCUGUGAGAAAUUACAAUCAUGUCCCUCAUAAAAAUUUACAACAAUGACCCAGACCCUUAUGGACUAAAAGGUCAUUCUAUCUUUAAGUCGGUUCGACCAUUCAUCUUCCGACAUGCUGUAAUACCGAAGCUUCAUGAAUGUUGCCUUUGGCGUCACGUACGAGCAGCUUCAGCCGAAGCUGUGACUUUCUGCAGGACCUUCGGCGACGAAGCAUGGUCCCAACAAAAACUAAGAUUAGCAAUGAGCAGUGAUCCACAAGUAAGGAUAACCAUGUAAAAAUACACUAAAAUUUAGCCGGUGGAACCCAAAGUUACAAGCCAGUCGCCCAGUCGUGGCAAGCGCUGCAUAGCGCGCCACACCUGUCGCGUCAGCAGGGUACCCGACGCGGAGGCCCCAACUUGUCCCACACGAAACCCCUCCGCAGAAGACUCCGCGCGAAAAGCUUCGAAAAGGUCUCCCAGGCCCACACCCAGCACGGGCCCAGUCCAAGUCUGGCACCCACAGGUACCGGCUCCGUCGCUUCAACUGACAUCUGGGCCCGCAUAACGCGCGUCCCGCUCGUCAGUGAGAGUGUGCGACGGCUACUUGAAACCCGAGUAAUUUUGUGCGACGAGAUAUCUGGGAAAACCAUCUACUGACGUGUGGGACCGGAGCAGAUAACAAAUCCAGCGCCUCAAAUCUAAGCACCCCGACGAAAUCGCCUAAUCCAAACCGCCUAUGCACGUUGGCUGGCCCUACUAAACGGAGAAGCCCCACCACAAACGCUACUCGCCGCCGCGGCGCGCAGACGACUGCGACUCCGCGAUGGACGAGGAGGAAAGGGAGGAGGUGGGAGAGUACAAGCUGCAAGGGUUGGUUGGGAGGGGCUCGUUCGCCGAGGUGCACCGUGCCGCGCACCGCCGCACUGGCGCGCCCGCGGCGGUCAAGGCGAUCGACCGCCGCCUCGUCGACAAGCGCGUCCACGACGGCAUCCUGCAGGAGAGGGAGAUACUCAGGAGCAUCGACCACCCCAACAUCCUCCGCCUCCUCGACACCAUCGACGUACGACGCUGCCCCCUUUUUUCCGGAUCACAAUCGCGAUCGAACUGAAUAGCACGCUGCUUAGCGAUUUGACACGAGUGUGUCGCCGCGUGCUUUUUCGCUGCAGACCACGAACAUGAUGUACCUGGUGCUGGAGUACUGCGACGGAGGCGACCUGGACG
rnacentral:lncRNA from 1 species